AGUCCGUCGACGGCUCCCGUUCCUGGUCGGUGGUGUGGGGUCCUCCUCCAGUGUCAGGAUAUCUUGUUCUCUCUGGCAGUAUGGCAUUCUUCAGUUUGUCAGGUGAAGCGGGAGUGCUGUCUGUUGGUUUGUAGUUUCAACAGGUGGUCGUUCAGAAGUGUGGCAUUUCUGUGCAGGUUAAGAAGCCCACUGUGAAUUUUGCAGCUCUUCAGGUAUGUGGGAAGAAACAGAAAGGUUCGUGUCCUUGAGAGGCUUGAAUGCUUGCUUUGAGUUGAAGGUGGUCAUCCAAAGAGGUUUGGACUGGAGUUCCUUCCUGUGCUGGCUGAGAUCUGUGCUUUCCUGGGUUUUAGUUGUGUGUUCUAUAUGAGCAGUAUUGGGCUCGUUAAAAAAAAAAAUUGUGGAUUCUUUGUUUUUUAGCAUGUUUUCGUAUGUUUACUGUGGUUUUGAGAUUUUUUAAUUUUGCUGUAUGUACCGAAUAUGUA